CUUUCAGUAGUGGCAAUACCAGCUCCGUCUGAGUUCGCUACGGACGCCUUCUCCAGCGGAUAUCGGUUAGUGGGUGUCGUGCACGACGUCGCUUUUUUUGCUCUCUGGGGAUGUGACACCGUGUGAUUCGCGUGUGUCCUUGACUUUUUGAUAUUGUGUGACAGUUCGCGCCGAAGGAGGGAUGUAAAAAUUAAUUGGAUCGCUGUUUCUGGAAUGUAAAUAUUAGCUAUCCAUAAUCAUGGAUUACAGCCUACUAUUCUAAGGAGAUACAAUCAUACUGGCGGGGGCAGACUUACAAUUAGAAAACGGGUGUGGCGAAGGAGGGAGUGGUGGGGACAAGAGUUGCCUAACAACGUACAUCUUCAACCCGGUGGAAACGUGUACUGGCACACCUAGUCCAGAAAAGGCCCACUUGAAGACGCCAGACUCGUCGACGAAACUCAGUCCCCCCCAAGAUGUCAUCUCUUCGACAGAUGUUGCCCAUAUGCAUCCCAAUUUUCUUUAUGGGAAAGUACUACCCGACGGAAAACCCAACUUUCUUACGGAUUACGAGCUGAGCUUCAAAAACUGUAAUUUUGGAGCGGGAGCUGACCAUGCUAAGUGCUGCGUUGGAGGACAUUUUGGGAGGGAUCUGAGUUUCGGUCACUUAUACACCAUCAGCAAAAGUGAUCGGAUAGAAGAGCGCACUUACGAUGAACCUUAUACAGGAGAUUUGCCAAGGAGGUCUUGGCUAUGCUGUCCUGGAUCUCAACCGCAUGUUGGUGAUGCCGAUCAGCCACCAUUAUUGGACACGGCAACGACAUCAUCGAAAACUCCAUCCACUCCCUUGGCUGAAGCCAUCACAAAACCUCCGGGAUAUAAUGUAUGUUCAGGAACUUGUGAAAAGCUGCAGCGACAAUUAGACGAGCAGUCCCAACGUUAUGAAGAACAGUUAACAGAAUUACAUUCUGUUAUAGCCGAACUGACGAGGAAAUUACAUCAGCAACGGUCAAUGGCUAUAGCCGAAGAAGAAGAAGUAUCAGAAUCAUGUACAAGUGCUCACGAAGAUUCAGUAACGUGUCCAUUAGAAGUCAGCGAAUUGGAACCUAUAGAAAAUGAACUUUCAGAUGUGGAUAAUAAAGUACCGUUUCCUGAAAGUCCCCAAGCAUUACCAGAGCCCAAAUUGUCUAACCACGAAAACAACGAAUUGUCGCCAUAUUCUGAGGUUGUAGAGCCCCUAAAAAAUGAAAUCACGAACCUCAAACAACAACUGCAUGAGGCUCACACCAGGUUAGCCCAAAUAUCGUUGGCAAAAAUUGAAGAAACUUCUACUGAAGAGGUACUGACUGAUAGUAAGAAUAUGGACUCGCCGGAAUCUCAUAUCGAAAUAGAUUGUGAACCAAAGAUGUAUCAAGAAGAUAAGGUUGAUAUCAAAUACAGUAACAUAGUACCUAUUCAUCGGACUAAUAUAAGGAAUAACUUUUACUCCAGCGCACCUGUACCUAAAGUUGCGGAAAGAAUAAAAUUAAAGAGAGCCACUGAUCAGCGAGGAAUUAAUCCAAAUGACCUGCUUAACUCUGAUUUGUCAACGGCGGUUGCGGAACACAUCGUUGGUGAUAUAUUGAAGCAAUGCGAUAUUCAAGCCGAGAAGCAAGGAUUAGAUAUUGAAAUUAGAAAAGUUAGUGCUAAAUUAGAAAAUGCAAGAUCACAAAACUCGGUAUUAGCAAUGACUUUGUCUGAGACUAAAGCGCAUUGUGAUAGAUUGGCCUUAUUAUGUGGUAAAUAUGAAUCAAACGCCAUCGCAUUACAACUUGCUUUGGGUAUAAGUGAUCGCAUUAUAGAAGCUUACGACGUUCUUCUAGCUCUACUUGAGACAGAACUUAGCCUGAAAGACGAUGAUUCCGACACAUUGCAGAAUAGAAGCGCUGCAGAAACGGUGGCCAAACAACUUCUACAUCAUUUAGAUUCUUAUCAGAGUACGGAUAUUUUGUUAUCUCCGUGGCAAAAUCAUGUAUAUAACAGUCCUACGAUUGAUAGUGAUGAACCUUGGAAUAACGACCACGAAAUGAGAUUAAGAGAACACGUUUCAAGACUAAAAGCAGACAGAAGUAACAUUCAAGGAACUUAUGUAGUUUUGGAAUCAACUCAACUCGAAUAUGUACCUGUACGACCUUCCAGCACUCAAGAAGCCAGAAAAAUGGACUUGGAAAUGGCUGUCUUAAUGCAGGAACUUAUGGGUCUACGAGAAGACAAGUCUGAACUGAUAUCCAAGCUCUUCGCUUUAGAAAAAGAGAAAUGUGCCAUAGAACUGAAACUUAAAUAUUCCGAAGGGCAGCAGAAAGCUCAGUCAGCAACUUUGAAAAACCUUCAGGGCCAACUAAAAGAUACAGAAGCAUUAUUAGCUAUAGCUACUCAGCAUAAGGAACAAGGAUAUUCAGAUGCUGAGCACGCUCAAGGCAUUGAAUUGGAAUUAAUGCAGGCAUUAGCAAGAGAGGCAAGACUGAAAGUUAGGUUACAAGAGUUGGUUACUACACUAGAGCAGGUAACAAAGAAUGCUGAAGCAAGGCUACUGGAAGGGAGAGAAAUAGUACAAGAUCUUAAUCAUACAAAUAGUAUAUUAGCUGACACUGUAGACAGAAAUAAUAAAAAGUAUCAAGCCAAAUUUAAAAAGAUGGAACAGCAAAUGUUUAUAUUAGUUGAAAAGCACAAUGCGCAGGUUCAAAAUUUGCAACAAAAGAUAGCUACGUUAGAAACGCCUCCAACAAAUAGUUCUGAAAAUUCCAUUAAUUCAGUAGCAGUCUAGCAGUCUUGUGUGUCAUUGCAUUUAAAUGAUGAUUUAACAUAGUUAUGUUGAUCUCUUUUCAUCUUAAUUUUAAGAGAGUUACAGAGCAUUUAAUGCUGCGCUUGUGUACCGGAUCUAGUAAUGAUGAUGUUGGUAUCAGUGUACGAUUGUUUAAAGUAAUUGAAAAAUUUUGUCAUUCCAAUUUAUAGAACUAAAGUUUUAUAAGCUACCUGUUUUAUUUCUUAAUUAUAGGAUUACUAUAACAUUUUUUUCUUUCAAGUAUAUUACAUUUGAUUAGUUUAGAACUUCAAAAGGACAAUAGUUUCCAUUAGGUAACAUUGAACCACUAGUAUGGUGCUUAUCAGAGGCUUCUUUCAGUGCGAAACAAGUGACAGAAAAAAAGGUACGUCCGUGAUACAUACACAUUCAUAACCAGAGGUGUAACCAGGAUGAUCCUAAGGGGGGGGGUUACAACUACUUGACGGUCUCUGGGGGGUAUGGAAUAGUAAUGGUGUUAAGCGUAUAGAGCUCAAAGUCCAUCCAAAUGGGGAUGUAACCCCCAAAACUCCCCCUUGGUUACGCCUAUGUUCAUAACAUUUAUUUCAGUUGUUGAUAGAUGGCACUAUAAUCCAAAAAGAAAUGAUUUAGGUAUUUACCCAUUAUUUACCUAUGUAUAGUCCGUCCGCUAUAACUUUUCCCAUGCGGUACGAUUCAUUUUCAAUCAAAUUAAGUCAAAACAGAAAGUGAAACGUACGCCGAUGUGUGUAGUAUAUAGUAUACAGUAUACAAAAUGUAUAUACACAUCUACGUUCGUUUCAAUUUAUGUUUUGACUUAAUUUGAUUGAAAAUGAAUCGUACCGCAUGGGAAAAGUUAUAGAGGACGGACUAUACAUAGGUAUCUAUACGACUUUAAUUUAAAGUUCUUCUCAGUCUUUCAGUGUGUCAUUCAUGAUGUAAUAUAUGAUUUUAAAAAUGUAAAGAAUCAUAUCAUGACAUUUUAGUUAAAUCUGACAGUGUUGUCAGAAUCGUAAUCGUAAUUUGGUAUAAAAACAAAUCAAUUGUGUUUAUUUCAUUUAUAAAAAGGUAUGUUCUUUGAUUUGUAUAGUCUUAUAAAUUGUACAGAUUAUAGUCGUAUAGAUAAUACAUAAAUAAUUUUUUGUUCGUUUAUAGCGCCAUCUAUCAGCAACUAGUAUAAAUGUUAUAAAUGACUUUAAUAACGGACGUACCUUUUUGUCUGUCACUUCCAACUUAAUGCGUUAGAAAGAAAUCGAAAAACUGUGACGCACUGAAAGAUGCCUCUGAGAAGGAGUAUAUACCAAUGUACCUUAAUUUAGGGAUCGUAAAUGACAGUAGGUAUUAGUACUGUUUACAUAAGUGCGAUAUGUAUUAAUGAUGACAGAUAUUAACACAAUGCAGAAAUACAAAAAAAUAUAAAUACUAGGUGUGAGUGAAUAAUAAGUGAUAAAUAAUGAGACGAGUAAACUAUUUAACAAACAUAAUAAUAGCCCUAAAAAACCGUUUUUUAGGCUGAGCCAUAAUACAAGACUAUAGUAUACUAGAAAAAAUCUUAGUUUAACAUUGGGAAGUUCAGAAGUUUAAAUACUUGGAAUACUUUACAAAUGUAUACAAACACUUUUUUGUUUUUUAACCAUGUUUCUAUAGAUCAAGAACUGAGACUUAAAAGGCAAGAACAAGAAACAGACAAGAACAUCUAUAUCUAUAGCUAGGUCAGUAAUGAACUAAAAAUUGUCAAUAAUUUUUUUCUGUGAUUCGUCUUUAAAUAGUUGGAAAGAAGAAGGAAACUACGUUUAUCCCAAAAUUUUGUUAGUUACUUACAUACUGCAUACUUCAAUACUUACACUAUUAGGCUUCGUUUUUCUGACGAUUUAUUAUUUUGUAAUUUCUUUAGAAUCUUUUGUAUUUCUUGGUUUUGAAUUUCAAAUCGAAUUAACAUUUAUUGUUUUUAAAGUUUAUAUAAAAAAGUGUUGUCUAUUUAAAUCUAAAUACGAAUUAGUUGUUCAUUGCAAUUAAAUGUUUAAAUACUUUUGGAACGAUUGACAGAUUUCUUUACAAAAAUCAGUUAAGUAUAUAUUGCUGAAUUGAUGACUACAAUUCGCCAAAAGUUUGAAACUUCCUCAUUCGUUGUUGUGCAACGUGCACUACUUUUCAUUUCUCUUUGCCAAUUUGACGACAUGCGAAGUUUCAUAGCUUCUUGUGCCUCUUCUAGAUGCAUAAGGUGUGUUAAGGAGAAGAUACACCUGUUCAAUGUGCCGUAAGACACAAACUACAGAAACAUAUUAAUACCUUAAUCUCGAUUAAGUGAGGAUAGUUUCGGAAGUGAUUAAUUCAUCUUGUAGAGAAAUAUAAUAUUUGCGACCUAUAAGUAAACAUAAAGAACAGACUGUGUCUGUAUUGGGGGAACGCAAGAAGAUAUACGGCUAUGAAGUAGACAGAAAGUCAAUCACAGAUCGAUGUAAAAAAACUUGGGAAUUAAAAGAACAAAAAAAAAUGACUAUUUAAAUAACGGAUGACAAAAAUACAGUUGAGUCCGCGAAUCUUUACCCGUGCGUCAUCACUUAAAGCAUACGAAAUAAGUCGGAAAUCUAUUUCACGCAACAACAACUGACAGAAAGUGGCUAUUGUUCCGAUUACGGGUUUUAUUAUAAAAUUUGACGUUAUCAAAUAUAUAGAAUGUCAAAUGUAAGUUUUGCUUCAAAAUUUUUACGCAGAAUUACAGCUACAUUUGAAGUAGCUUAAUAAAUUCUUUUAUUAUUAUUGAUUAAUAAAUAAAUAAACAAUUUAUAAAAAAAUCCAAUAACAUAUUUUAUUUUUGUUAUUUUAUUCACUUUGACGGAAAUUUAAACAGUCAUUUCUUUACUGUGUGAAUGACGUUAGCUUUGUAUGUUUUAAAUAUUAAUUGCCUAAAUAUAAUUAUUUACCUUAAAAUUUCAAAGCCCAAUAUAAAAAUAGUUGUGAAAACAACUGUUUGUGUAAUAUAAAGAAACUUCAAAACGCAAAAAUUCGACAAAAACCGCAAAAAGUUCAACUGACUGACAGCCACAAAAUUAAACAAAUCAGAAACGUCAAACAAAUUGUGCUUAAAAUAUGAAAACAUGCCGAAUCGUCUUUUUUUGUACCUAUCUCUUUUCAAUGCACUGAGUCUAGAUGGUUCAUAAAAAUAACAUGUGUUGUUACUUAAUAACAAACGGCAGCUGGUUUGUCAUGAGUUUCAUGCAUGGAAGAGAAUGAUGCUAGAUAAAAAGUAUGUGUUUUAUCUCGCCAGGUAUUAAUGACGCACGGGUAAAGACUCGCGGACUCAACUGUACUUAGAGACACAGAAAUGGAUUACUGGAGAUAAGCAGCGGACAAAAUAAAUAUCGUAAACGAAAUACGGAAAAAUCAAUUAAUAUGAUAUGGGCGACAUGGGCGUGUUGAGAUAAUAACCAAUUACAGAAUUUCUACAAAGUGCUUUUUUAUAAUAAAGGAAAAGAAAACCUGGAAAGAAGACACCGAGAAAAAGAUAAAAGACAGAAUCGUGGAAGAUAACAUGUAUACAAGAGAAUAUACAAGUAGGGAGUAUAGAUAGUAAGCGUCACGCUAGUAGACACACGAGUACCUACUUGCUAGGCUUGGGCUAAUCCGACCCGUUCUCACCUGUGACUUUCAUGUCUGUCAUGUCAUGUGACUCUCAUGAAAUAAUUGUUUAAAACUACCUAAUUGUUUUUCAUACAAAAAAAUAGGUACAUUAAUUAAUAGUAUUGUUACUCUGCUUUAAAAUAACUUUAUUCAAACACCAACAAUAUUACAAUACUUUAUAAAUUUUGCUGACUUGAACACAAUGACUUGACUUGAACUAUAAACUGCAAAUACAACUGUUCUAUAAACAGUCAACUUUCUAUUAGUCUGAGAGCUAGUGAACCCUUCGACUAACGGUCGUCCUGUAAGGCUAGAAAUUUGUCUAGUGAUAAUUCAUAGCACACCAAUUCUAAAAACCAUGACCUGGCAGGCAUCAGCGCUGCACGUGUAUCUACCAGGUGAAUCGAAAAGUGCAAAUUUAGGGGGCAAAAUAAACUUUCUCCUGUAAGGUUUAAAUUUAAGUAUGUGUUUGAGUAAGUCAUUUAGAAGAAAUGUGUACAAUGACAGGCGAUUCUGAAGACCAUAAGACCUUGCCAGGCGAGGGGAAUGAUUAGGGGUUUUCCCUAAAAUUAUUUUUUUUUGCAUCGAACAAUUUUUUUUAGGUUUUUUGAAUCAUUCCAAACAGAAAAGGUCUUUAGUGAUUUUUCUCUUAAGUUAAUAGUUUUUGUUAUAUAAGCGAUUGAAAAUUUUGAAAAUUGCGAAAUCGGCCAUUUUUAACCCUAAAUCGGACAUUUAUCUAAAAAUUUCAAAGUUGCCAAGGUAGGUAGAUAUUCUUUAAACAUUGAUUGAUGAAAUCUCAAAGAGUUUUUUGCAAUACAAUAUCGGAAACCCCUUUGUUUUUUAAUUGCUGAUCAAGCGUGCACGACACUGUAGUAUAAGUGAGGACGUUUGAGUUAGCAUAAAUUCAUUAUCUCGAGAAUGGGCAAAUUUCAAGAGAAAUCCUCAGACAGGUCGAUUUUUAUUUUUCAAUUAGGACUUUUUGGCAUAUAUAUAAUUCUAGUGACGUCAUCCAUCUGAGCGUGAUGACGUAAUCGAUGAUUUUUUUAAAUGAGAGUAGGGGUUAUGUGAUAGCUCAUUUGAAAGGUUUUUUAAUUAUCUAUUCAGUAAUAUAGACAUUAACAUAAUUAUUUAUACAGGGUGUACAAAAAAAAGUUUUCUUCUAUUUGUCAAAUUUAAUCAAAGUUAAUUUAAUAAUAAAAAUUUUUUGUACACCCUGUAUAAAUAAUUAUGUUAAUGUUUAUAUUAGUUAAUAGAGAAUUAAAUAACCUUUCAAAUGAGCUAUCACACAACCCCUACUCUCAUUUAAAAAAAUCAUCGAUUACGUCAUCACGCUCAGAUGGAUUAUGUCACUAGUAUUAUAUAUAUGCCAAAAAGUCCCAAUUUAAAAAUAAAAAUCGACCUGUCUGAGGACUUUUCUUGAAAUUUGCCCAUUCUCGAGAUAAUGAAUUUAUGUCAACUCAAACGUCCUCACUUAUACUACAGUGUCGCGCCCGCUUGAUCAGCAAUUAAAAAACAAAGGGGUUUCCGAUAUUGUAUUGCAAAAAACUCUUUGAGAUUCAUCAAUCAAUGUUUAAAGAAUAUCUACCUACCUUGGCAACUUUGAAAUUUUUAGAUAAAUGUCCGAUUUAGGGUUAAAAAUAGCCAAUUUCGCAAUUUUCAAAAUUUUCAAUCGGUUAUAUAACAAAAACUAUUAACUUAAGAGAAAAAUCACUAAAGACCUUUUCUGUUUGGAAUGAUUCAAAAAACCUAAAAAAAAUUUGUUCGAUGCAAAAAAAAUAAUUUUAGGAAAAACCCCUAAUCUUUCCCGUCGCCUGGCAAGAUCUUAUGCUCUUCAGAAUCGCCUGUCAUUGUACACAUUUCUUCUAAAUGACUUACACAAACACAUACUUAAAUUUAAACCUUACAGGAGAAAGUUUAUUUUACCCCCUAAAUUUGCACUUUUCGAUACACCUGGUAGAUACACGUGCACCGCUGAUGCCUGCCAGGUCAUGGUUUUUAGCCUUGGUGUGCUAUGAAUUAUCACUAGACAAACUAGCCUUACAGGACGACCGUUACUCGGAGGGUUCACUAGCUCUUAGACUAUAUGUUUAUAUUCGGUUUCUACACAUAUUCUGACGUUCUAGACGUCACUAGACAUUAAAAGUAAAAAGUGCAACAAGUAAAGGGUCCAGGACUGUAUUAGCUCAAUGUGCCCGUGGUCAAGUAGCGUGGCGGUUACUAUAUAAACAGGUAUAAAGAUAUUGUAUUUAUGUACGUUAGUUAAUCAGUAACUAACUAAAAAAUCUACAAUUUAUUACCACCGUACUGUAACCAUUUAAACAGUAUUACAAUGUUAAGCGCUAGAAGUUGUUUAUACAAACUUUACGUCUAAAUUGGAAUGGCAGUUAAUGUGCUAAGGUGUGUCUGCCUCGCUGUGAUUAACAUAUACCCUUAAAAAAGAUGGCAAAGAUACGUAUUAUCAGGAAAAUUAUUUAUUUACAAUGAGAAUCGCUAUAAUAUUUCUAAGUACUAAUAUAAUUUGUUUUGUUAAAUUUGUUUUGUACAAUAAACUUUUUUAUGUCUGAA
rnacentral:misc_RNA from 1 species